AUCCCAACACACCCAACAGCCGCCCCCACUCCUGCGUUAACCUCUGCCAGAAACUCCCAACAAUCCCUUGUCUCUAUGGUUAUUCUGCCCGAAACUCAUUUAUCUGAGACCUCUCUUCCUCCACCUCAUCCGGAAUCCGACAUCUCUUCUGACAACCCCUUCUCCCCUCUACGUAAUGAUAUCUUCCCCUGCACUGCUUGCGGUGAGGUUUUCCAAAAACCCCAUUUUCUUGAGCAACACCAGGCCACCAAACACGCCGUCUCCCAACUCCUUGAUGGUGAUUCAGGGAAGAACAUAGUCCGGAUCAUUUUCAAAACAGGUUGGACCGACAAAGUUAGGAACCCUGAAAUCCAUCGUAUUUUGAAGAUCCAUAACAGCACAAAGAUUCUAGCGAGGUUCGAAGAAUACAGGGAGCUUGUGAAAGCGAAAGCUGCUAGGAAUGGUGCCGUAGUGGGGAGACGAGACGAGAGGUGCAUAGCCGAUGGGAACGAGCUGUUGAGAUUUUACUGUUCAACAUUCAUGUGUGAUCUGGGACUUAAUGGGAGUUCCGGCAUUUGCAGCCAGCAGUAUUGCAGCGUCUGUGGGAUAAUCAAGUCUGGCUUUUCACCAA
rnacentral:lncRNA from 1 species